rnacentral:rRNA from 1 species
GAUGAACGCUGGCGGCGUGCCUAAUACAUGCAAGUCGAGCGAACAGACGAGGAGCUUGCUCCUCUGACGUUAGCGGCGGACGGGUGAGUAACACGUGGAUAACCUACCUAUAAGACUGGGAUAACUUCGGGAAACCGGAGCUAAUACCGGAUAAUAUAUUGAACCGCAUGGUUCAAUAGUGAAAGACGGUUUUGCUGUCACUUAUAGAUGGAUCCGCGCCGCAUUAGCUAGUUGGUAAGGUAACGGCUUACCAAGGCGACGAUGCGUAGCCGACCUGAGAGGGUGAUCGGCCACACUGGAACUGAGACACGGUCCAGACUCCUACGGGAGGCAGCAGUAGGGAAUCUUCCGCAAUGGGCGAAAGCUUGACGGAGCAACGCCGCGUGAGUGAUGAAGGUCUUCGGAUCGUAAAACUCUGUUAUUAGGGAAGAACAAAUGUGUAAGUAACUAUGCACGUCUUGACGGUACCUAAGCAGAAAGCCACGGCUAACUACGU